ACUUGAAUAGCUUAUAAAGUAGAGUGUAACAUUGAAGAUGUUAAGGAAAUUUAAUAAUUUUUAAGUA
rnacentral:tRNA from 1 species